rnacentral:rRNA from 1 species
GAUGAACGCUGGCGGCGUGCCUAAUACAUGCAAGUCGAGCGAACAGACGAGGAGCUUGCUCCUCUGACGUUAGCGGCGGACGGGUGAGUAACACGUGGAUAACCUACCUAUAAGACUGGGAUAACUUCGGGAAACCGGAGCUAAUACCGGAUAAUAUAUUGAACCGCAUGGUUCAAUAGUGAAAGACGGUUUUGCUGUCACUUAUAGAUGGAUCCGCGCCGCAUUAGUUAGUUGGUAAGGUAACGGCUUACCAAGGCAACGAUGCGUAGCCGACCUGAGAGGGUGAUCGGCCGCACUGGAACUGAGACACGGUCCAGACUCCUACGGGAGGCAGCAGUAGGGAAUCCUCCGCAAUGGGCGAAAGCCUGACGGAGCAACGCCGCGUGAGUGAUGAAGGUCUUCGGAUCGUAAAACUCUGUUAUUAGGGAAGAACAAAUGUGUAAGUAACUAUGCACGUCUUGACGGUACCUAAUCAGAAAGCCACGGCUAACUACGUG